rnacentral:rRNA from 1 species
ACGCUGGCGGCGUGCCUAAUACAUGCAAGUAGAAUGCUGAAGAGAGGAGCUUGCUCUUCUUGGAUGAGUUGCGAACGGGUGAGUAACGCGUAGGUAACCUGCCUUGUAGCGGGGGAUAACUAUUGGAAACGAUAGCUAGUACCGCAUAACAAUAGGUGACACAUGUCAUUUAUUUGAAAGGGGCAAUUGCUCCACUACAAGAUGGACCUGCGUUGUAUUAGCUAGUAGGUGAGGUAACGGCUCACCUAGGCGACGAUACAUAGCCGACCUGAGAGGGUGAUCGGCCACACUGGGACUGAGACACGGCCCAGACUCCUACGGGAGGCAGCAGUAGGGAAUCUUCGGCAAUGGGGGCAACCCUGACCGAGCAACGCCGCGUGAGUGAAGAAGGUUUUCGGAUCGUAAAGCUCUGUUGUAAGUCAAGAACGAGUGUGAGAGUGGAAAGUUCACACUGUGACGGUAGCUUACCAGAAAGGGACGGCUAACUACGUGCCAGCAGCCGCGGUAAUACGUAGGUCCCGAGCGUUGUCCGGAUUUAUUGGGCGUAAAGCGAGCGCAGGCGGUUUGAUAAGUCUGAAGUUAAAGGCUGUGGCUCAACCAUAGUUCGCUUUGGAAACUGUCAAACUUGAGUGCAGAAGGGGAGAGUGGAAUUCCAUGUGUAGCGGUGAAAUGCGUAGAUAUAUGGAGGAACACCGGUGGCGAAAGCGGCUCUCUGGUCUGUAACUGACGCUGAGGCUCGAAAGCGUGGGGAGCGAACAGGAUUAGAUACCCUGGUAGUCCACGCCGUAAACGAUGAGUGCUAGGUGUUGGAUCCUUUCCGGGAUUCAGUGCCGCAGCUAACGCAUUAAGCACUCCGCCUGGGGAGUACGACCGCAAGGUUGAAACUCAAAGGAAUUGACGGGGGCCCGCA